UGAUGGAAUCUCCGAAAGGGUUCUUUGGGAUUGAUACAAUUGUCUCUGUUGGUCCACUACAUUUUGAGGUGGAAGCAGGGAACCUGUCACUUGGCCUGAAGAUUGUAGCCUUUGUUGCACAUCCUGUUGUAGCAGAUUAGGUUGUUGUAACUGCUGAUGGUGAGACUGAAGGGGCAUCAUCUGCUGCUGGGAUGGCUGAUUUUGUGACUGUUGUCCCUGAGAAGGAUACAAGCCAUGGCCAGCUUGGUGUGUUCGUUGCAGCGCAGCGGUUGGCUGUGAUAACAUGUGCACCGACUGCUGGUUAGUCUGGGAACUGAGCAACUGUUGUUGUGGUUGCUGCAGUCCUGCAACAUUGCUUUGAGUGCCCAGUGGUUGCUGAGUCGUAGCCUGAAGGCUGUUUUGUUGAGACAUAAAUUGCUGUUGGGCCGGUGGGUGUUGCUUCUGCUGCGGUCGCAUGUUCAUAACAUUAUUUUGCUGGUUCAGCAACCUUUGCUGAUGUUGCUGCUGCUGCAUAUCCCCAACAACAUGCUGCGCCAUCAUUUGAUUCUGCUGGAUGCCUGAGCCACUUGCAGCUUGUUGCCGCGUCAUUUGUGCUUGCUGCUGGGGAGAAAUAGACUGAUGCGGCAAUGAAGUUUGUUGCUGAUGGAUCCCAGAGGCUUGUUGUGAUUGCGGAUGUUGCCUUAGCAGCGACGAUUGCUGCUGACGAAGAAUAGUCUGUGACGUAGUCUGCUGAGAAGAGAAUUGAGGACUUGACUGCUGAUUUGUGUGGAGACCCUGGAUGGGAGCUGAGUUCACAGCUGAAGGCUGCGUUGCAGAUGUCGUACUACCAGGCUGUUGAGACGAAUGCAUUUGAUUGGGCUGCAAUACAUUUUGUUGCUGUUGUUGUAUGGGAUUGGGAACAUUCCCUGACUGAAAAUUCUGCCUGAGAAGUUGCUGCUGAUAAAGAUAUUGUCCACCCUGUGGCUGCUGCUGCUGCUGAGAAGACAUAAUAUGCGGCCUGCCCAACAUCUGCCUUUGGGAUCCUGAUAUCAUGUUGGAUGAAAGGCCAUGCUGCCCAGAUGAAUCUUGCAACACUCCGGCAACAUUUUGCAUACUGGAAUUCUGGUUUACAACGCUUGUGACGUUAUUAUUGGCUAUGGAAGAAACAGGCUGCAUGGAAGAUGGUAAACCAGUAGAACCCGCCAUUCCAGAGGCUGUAUUACUCUGCAUGGUUUGGGACAUCAACGGCUGAGGUGCUUGAGAUUGAUUGUUUGGAAGAAGUUGCCCUUGAUUGUUGGGUACUAGCAAAGUUAAACAGCACCAAAUUAAAGAAACAGUCAUCCAAAAGAGCCAGAUAAGAAGAGUUAAGCAAUACAUGGUUGAGAAUCAUGAUUACUUGAAUCCAUUGAUGUGGUAUUAUUAGCAUCAGUGGUAGUUGAGGAAGAGCCAGCAGCAUUUUGAGAUUUAGUCUCCAUAGUCAGCAUCUUCAUGGAUAUCUUCCGAAGGUAAUCAGUCUGAAAAUUCAAUAAAAAAAAUCAGGGAGGUAUAUAUAGCUUUACGGCUACCAAAGUCUGUUAUUUUCCAGCUUGUUAAAAAAAGUGGAUGUUCAGUACCUGGUUAACAGCACCGCUGAAAGUUUUCUCCUCAAAUCUGGCAGCAAUUCUCCUGAGAUCGUUAAUUCCUUCUGGUCCAGAACUCGGAAGGUGCCUGCUUAGUGUUUCCAUUCUGCGCAUAGAGUAAGAAAAACAGAAGUAAGGGUCAAAAAAGUGUAACACCAUGUAUUUCUGAUGAAACAUUUUGGAGACAUAACAUUACAACAACACCAGUUAAUAUUAAUAUUAAAUAAACUUACAUCUUGUUAACGAUCUUCUGGCGUGAAUCAGGUGGCAACUGUUUUCUCCACUCACCAUUGUUAAUGGCUGCAGAUUCUCCAUUUGGAAUGGAAAGUCUCCAGUUGUUGUUAUCCAUCAAGUGUUCCUACGUUCGCAAACCAUGAUAACCAAAACAUGAUGCUCAUAUCCCAAAAAAAAAAACUACAAGAAACAAACGACCACACAGAAGAUGGAUUAUUAUUAUUCACACUCAUAAUUUCUCAAUAUAUGUCGCUUUCCUUUUUUUUCAUUUGUGCCAAAUAAUCAGACCAGACAGGAUAAUAAUAAUAGAAAGUUUGAGACAUCAGAAAUUAAAUAAGGAAUCACCAACCCUGAAGAAAAUCAAAACAAGUUGUGUUCACUGAUCAGCCAAAAUUUUCAUUUUUUUUAAUUACCAGCUUUGUCUCCUGUCCGUAGCAGAAAGUCACAUACAGUACAGCUUGCCGAGACUCCGACCACAAGAUAAAACUCGAAAGCAACAGAUGGAAACCAAAAAAAAAAAAAAAAAAACGAGAUUCGAAAAUUUCACCUACAAUUUUUAAAGUGUGUCGAGGCGAUUUCGCGGUUGCUACAAACGAUUAGAGUCUGCCUUUAGGAAAAAAAAAAGGAGUUAAAUUAGGGUUUAGGUUGAUCGAGAAAUGAAAUUGAAGAAUAUAUAAAAGAAUGUUUCUGGGCAAACGCAGAGGAAGGAAACUUCAUGCGUCUUAAGCUGACAACUGUGUCCCCUCAACUUCGCUUAUAAGUUAUGACCAAAGUUUUCAAUGUCGUCGCGCUGCUUUUUAAAUUACCACUAACCCCCUCCAAUUAAACAUAAAUUACAAGGUCCACUGUGUAUAAUAAAUAUGUUGAGAAAGUUCCCUACGACGACGUUUCAAUAUCGGUACGAGCUGUUAGCGCGUAGCCGCGUAUCAACCAAUUACCAAGAACGAAAUAAUUUGAAUAUUUUAGAGUUAACAUAAACCGUUUCCUUUAGCUUUGCAAGUUUUUAGAAUCUAAUUCUCUGAGUAGAUACUGAUUUCGGUGAUCACUAGCAGAGUUUAAUGUACUUAUGUACAUAAUAAACAAAGUAAUGGACUUCUCAUCUUUUUCAUUCGAUCGACUAGAAAAACAUGCGACUAUAAAAAGUCAAUGAGCAAGCAACACACACAGGAAGUCUUAAAGAUUUUGCAAGAAAGACCACAACUCAAAGUUUCAGUAAAAUACAGACAACUUUUAGAGGGAGAUGAAAUCAACUUUGUAGACUUAAAAGAACAACUUUCUAGACAGACCAAAAUUCACAGAGAAGAGCCACAAAAGGGGCAGAAACGGAACUCAGGCUCCACGACUCGAUCGCAGAAACGGCACGUAGCUAGAGAUAUCGGCGGAGGGAAAAACAGAUCGCAGUCUCUACAAUGGAGUACUUGAUCUUUCCCGGGCCAUCUCCAGACAGGAACAAAGAACAGCUUCAAGACUUUGUCGUAAUCCACCAAAUCGGCCUCCGAGCCACAUCUUAUGCACUUUCCGGCGCCGGAUUUGAGCACCUGCCUCACCUGUUGCCCUAAUCCACCAGCGAAGAAAAAGAACAUCCUCUGUUUUCAGAAUUACCUGAGAUCUCCUUUUUUUUUUUAAGCUCUUCAGACACUUGUGCAGGGUUCACAAGAAAAACUUGUUAAGAUUUCAGAUUAAGGGGAAGAUAUAAUUUAGUCUAUCUUCUAGUUGUUUCUAGCAGAGGUAAGAUAAGAACAUAACUUUUGAUUUUGCCAUGUUCUAGGUGUUUCCAGCCCUUGUAAGAAACAUAGUCUUGGUUUCCGAUUUUUUUUUUUUUUUGUCUUUUUUGGUUUGGCCAACAUCCAAUAGAAUACAUGGAUGAUCAGCAGAUAAUUAAGUACCUGGUUAACAGCACCGCUGAAAUUAAAUUUUCUCCUCGAACCUGGCAGCAAUUCUCCUGAGCUCGUUAAUUCCUUCUGGUCCAGAGUGAGGAAGGUGCCUGCUUAGUGUUUCCAAGUAAAUAGAGUAAGAAAAACAGAAGUAAAGGUCAAAGAAGUGUAACACCCAUGUAUUUCUGAUGAAACACUUUGCAGAAGCUUAAUAACAACACCAGGUAAUAUUAAUAUUAAAUAAACUUACAUCUUGUUAGCGAUCUUCUGGCGUGAAUCAGGUGGCAAUUGAUUUCUCCACUCACCAUUGUUCAUGGCUGCAGAUUCUCCAUUUAGAAUGGAAGGUCUCCAAUUGUUGUUAUCCAUCAAGUGUUCCUAAGUUUACAAACCAUGAUAAGAAGAUAACCAAAACAUGAUGCGCAUAUCGCAAGGAAAAAAAAAACUACAAGAAGCAGACAACCACACAGAAGAUGAAUUAUUAUUAUUCACACUCAUAAUUUCUCAAUAUAUGUCGCUUUCCUUUUUUCCAUUUAUGCCAAAUAAUCAGACCAGCCAGGAUAAUAGUAAUAGCAAGUUUGAGACAUAGCUUGAGAAUCACAAUCUCUCGUUCCUAGGUGAAGAUGUUAUGCAGCUGAAUUCUAGGGUAUAUGAGCAUAUUCACUCAUCAGAGUAGCUACAUAGCAGGUUGAUCCUGAACCGGAAGUAGCAAAAUACCCAAACAUGUAUUGAAUUAGGAGAGAUUGGAUAUCCGAACCCGAACAGAUAAUAUCCAAACCCGAAUGAAUAUCCAAAAAUAACCGAACAUAAAUAUAUAUAUAUAUAUAUAUAUAACCUUAUAUUUUUAAUAUAAAUCGUUUAUUUUAUUUAAAAUAUUUAUAUUGAUGUUACACUACUUUAAAAUCAUAUAAUAUGCAUAUAAGUACAUAUAAAAUGAUAUGAUACUCUAUAGGUUUCUUGUGUAAAGCCAUAUUCUUUCUACAUUGAUCAAUAAAUUUCACAUUUCAUAAAAAAAAGGUUUGAUAGUCACUUUAAAUGCAUGUCAAGCUUUUUAUUUUAUGUAUUAACAAAAGUUACAUCCAUUUUUUUUUUAAAAAUGACCAAAUUAUUUAUUUUUGCAAUGUUAUCUCCAAAUCUAUUAAUCACUCAAUCUAUUAAAAAUAAAAAAAAAUCAGUUGAGUGAAAAUUAUAUUUUUAAAUACAAGAAACUUAAAACAAUGAAAAAAAUAAUUUUUUAUUUUAAAAUCUAAAUAUCCGAACCCAACCCGAAAUAACCGAAUCUGAUUUAAAAAUAUUCGAAGCCGAUCCAAAAUACAAAAAUACCCAAACGGGUUCUAUAUCCCUAUGCCAAAAUACCUAAAAAUCUGAAAUACCCGACCCGAACGACCAAUUAGAAUUAGUAAGAACGAAAUAAUUGAAUAUUAGAGUCAACAUAAACCUAUUUUAAUAAGUGAUAACUCUAAUAGUUUUUCCUUUCACCAAAAACAACAUAUGUUUUUUUUUUUUUUUCAAUUUGAAAUUCCACCUAACGAACAGAAACAAUGGUUACAACAGUGAUUUAGUGAUUUAAGUAAAACCCCAACGACUUAGGACUGUCUUUCUCCGAAACACACAGUCGAGUUACUUCGCAAGCUCGGACUCAAUUCUAACAAAUGACACACAGCCAGACCGCUUAUCAUAAUCUUGAAUCCGAUUUCUAUGAUCACCGGCUUGUCCCGGUUAAUCGGGACGGGAGAACAUAGUCUCCACUUUCUCCUCACCAAUGAACCGUUCCGACUUCUGCAUUUUAAUGGAUUUGUAAAUCUAAACUAAAUGUAGUGUUAUUGGUUCUAUUAUUUUAAAAUUCACAUUCAAAUCCAUAGUUAUUGGUUUUAUGAUUUUAAAAUAAAUUUUAGAAUCAUGUGUUAUUCAAUAAUAAAGAUUUGUGUAUGGAUUUAAUUUGCAACUGGAUUUGAUUGGAUUUGUAACUAUUGUUAAGAGUAAAAUACAAAGGAUCAAAUAUUGGGUUUAACCUUGUUAUUUUGGCUGGAUUUGUUUUAUAUUGUUUUUUUUUCAUUCUUUAUACUUUUGUGUCCCAACACACAUCAGUUGAUGCAUUACUUCAAAUUUUAUACAUUGUUUUUUGCUCAUGUUAAAAACAUGCACUAAGCACAUGUCCAUACAAACAUAUUGUAUAAUGCAUACGAUAAUAAAAAGAGAUGCAACGAGAGAUGUAUUCCAUAUGAACGUAUCCCCACAAAUUGUGUGCGACCAGCUUUUGCUGCUUAGCAAAAUGAAAAAGAGGCAAGAAAGAUGAUGAAUGGUGGAGAAGAUAAAGUCGUCGAUAAGUUCCGAGAAUACUCCGUUGAGAUUUCUGAAAAAAUGACAAGUAAAUCUGUUUUGUCAGAAAUUUUUACUUUUGAUCCGAUCAAACUUCCGAUAACAUGGUGAAAAAAUAGUUUGAUCCGAAAUUUCUGAGGAGAUGCCAUGAAAAGUUUGUUCUGAAAAUCCAUGUUUUUGGAAGUUGCAGUCGGAGAACAUAAUGUUCUCUUGUAGUGUUUUAUUUAGGUCUAGUUACAAAUCCAUUGAUUUAUAACAAUUCAUUUAUUUGAUUUUAAAAUACUCAUAUCAAUAAUUCUCACUGGAUUUUUGGAAGAUUUCUAAAUAUAAGGAGAAUUUAUAAAUCCACUAAACUAACAGAACCAAUAACCCCCACUUAAUAAAUCCGACAAAAAUACACAUAACAAACAGAAUCUUGCAUUGCUACAGAUACUAGAAAAACGAGAAACCACUUCUUUAUAUACAAAUAUGUAAAUGCAGUUGCCUUCCCCCUUAUUUGGCUUUAGCUUCCCUCUUCCAUACUCUGCAUCUUCAAGGAUAUUUUGCAAAAGUAGUCCAUCUGAAACUCGAAACCAGCACACAACAUCAAGAAACAAAGGAGAGCAUGAUAUCGAGGAUGUAACUCACUGAGCUUAAUAAAAAAAAAUAGCGUAACCUGAUUUUUUGCGGUGUUGAAAAUCAACUCCUCGAAGCUGACAGCAAUUCUCAUGAGCUCUUCGAUUCCUUCUUCCCCAGAAUAUGGAAGAUUCUUCUUCAGUGUUUCCAAUCUGCCAAAUGGCAAAACUCACUUCUCUAUUUAUAAACAUAUGCAUGGCAAAAUGUUGUAAAACAUUCUACUUCGACAGAGUUUUAUCAUCAAAUUGGCUUUGGGGAAGCAAAAAAGGAGCAAGAGUUGAUAAAUAUGACAAAUUUGGAGGAGGAACAAACUCACAGCGUGUUGACAUUCUUUUGGCGUGAAGCUGGUGGAUGUAGAGUUCUCCAGUCAACUGUGUUUAUGGCAAGAUUACCUAUGUGGACAAAGCAAAGCAUUAACAUCAGGAUUCUAGCUCCAUUUAAAACCUUCAAGAGAAACGAAUCAAGUGGGAAAAUGGAUGCAACUGAUCUCCAACAUCCAUUUAUAAAACCAAGAAAAUGGAUUGCAUCUGCGGAUUUGCUUGACCAUCAUGAGAAUGAUUACCGUUCUGAGAUGACUGUUGCUUCACAGGCUGCAUCUGAGGUUGCGGAAGCUUCCCUUGCUGUACUAGCUUCCUCGGCCUGUGCAUAUUUAAGAAAUCUACAAUCUGCUUCUCAUAAUAAGCCACCCUAUCCCUUAAUGCAGGCACGAUAUUUCUCUUUGAAACCGACAGGAAUUGUAUCAUUCGCUCCACCAUUAUCUUGAAUUGUUUCAAUUUAUUAAACUGCUCUGAUCUUUGUUGCUGCGGAAGAGAAUCCAUCUGGGGAGAAAAAGAAUUGUGCUCAAUAAGAAAAGAGACAACCACAUCCGAUGUGUACUUUCUACUGGACAGUAAUUACACGAGUCUCAAGAGCAUCUUUUGGUGAAAUGGUUUUCAAGACACCAAAGUUGUACGCCUUUCUUUUGCAAUGUCGAACCAGUUUUGCAUUGAAUUCAUAGAGAUUCUCACUCAGAUACUCUACUGUUUCAGAGAACAUACACUCCAACUCUCCUAGAAAAAAAUAUCGCAACUUACUUGCUGCAACUUGGCUAUAACUCUCUGGUAGAUUUCGGUAACAUCUGGUAAGUACGCAUCUUUCAUAAUUUUGAUCUGCAAAGACAAAGCACCGUGGGAACACGAUUACUCAUUACGGGAGGCCGGAAGCAUUACUCAAAAUAGAAAGAAAAAACUACCUUUUGGUAAACCUCCUCUUGCCAAUCAACACCAUUUGCAUUUUCCGUCUGUGCCGUUGAGUCUACCGAUGCUAACAUUUAUAAAAAGUGGGUUUGCUCAGCAUCAGAUCUUGCCGAGGGAUUAUGUAAAGUAUCAGAAACUAAAGUAUUCACAAGGAUGUAGAAAAAGCAUACAUGAUGGCAUCUCCGGAAGGGUUCUUUGGGAUUGAUACAGUUGUCUCUGUUGGUCCACUACAUUUUGGGGUGGAAGCAGGGAACCUGUCACUUGGCCUGAAGAUUGUAGCCUUUGUUGCACAUCCUGUUGUAGCAGAUUGGGUUGUUGUAACUGCUGAUGAUGCGACUGAAGGGGCAUCAUCUGCUGCUGGGAUGGCUGAUUUUGUGACUGUUGUCCCUGAGAAGGAAAUAAGCCAUGGCCAGCCUGGUGUGUUCGUUGCAGUGCAGCGGUUGGCUGUGAUAACAUGUGCACCGACUGCUGGUUAGUCUGGGAACUGAGCAACUGUUGUUGUGGUUGCUGCAGUCCUGCAACAUUGCUUUGAAUGCCCAGUGGUUGCUGCUGAUGAAGGCUGUUUUGUUGAGAUAUGAAUUGCUGCUGGGCCGGUGGGUGUUGAUUCUGCUGCUGUUGCAUGUUCAUAGUAUUAUUUUGUUGGUUCAGUAACCUUUGCUGAUGUUGCUGCUGCAUAGCCCCAACAACAUGCUGCCCCAUCAUCUGCCUCUGUUGGAUGACAGAGCUAUUUGAAGCUUGUUGCCGCAUCAGUUGUGCUUGCUGCUGAGGAGAAAUAGACUGCUGCGGCAAUGAAGUUUGUUGCUGAUGGAUCACAGAGGCUUGUUGUGAUUGCGGAUGUUGCCUUAGCAGCGAUGAUUGAGCAGACACUUGAGGACUUGAUUGUUGAUUUGUGUGGAGACCUUGGAGGGGAGCUGAGCUCACAGCUGAGGGCUGCGUCGCAGAUGUCGUACUACCAGGAUGUAUCUGCGACGGCAAAACCGAAUUGGGAUUGGAAAAGUUCCCUGACCGAAAAUUCUGCCUGAGAAGUUGCUGCUGCUGAGAAGACAUAGUAUGCGGCCUGCGCAACAUCUGCCUAUGGGAUCCUGAAAGCAUGUUGGACGAAAGGCCAUGCUGCCCAGAUGAAUCUUGCAACACUCCGGCUACAUUUUGCAUAUUGGAAUUCUGAUUUACAACACUUGUGACAUUAUCAUUGCCUAUGGAAGAAACAGGCGGUAUGGAAGAUGGUAAACCAGUAGAGCCCGCCAUUCCAGAGGCUGUAUUACUCUGAAUGGUUUGGGACAUCAACGGCUGAGGUGCUUGAGAUUGAUUGUUCGGUAACGUUCCUGGAAGAAGUUGCCCUUGAUUGGCGGGUACUAUUCAAGAAAAAGUUAAACAGCACCAAAUUAAAGAAACAGUCAUCCAAAAGAGCCAGAUAAGAAGAGUUAAGUAACACAUGGUUGAGAAUCAUGAUUACUUGAAUCCAUUGAUGUGGUAUUAUUAGCAGCAGGGGUAGUUGCUGAAGAGCCAGCUGCAUUUUGAGAUUUAGUCUCCAUAGCCAGCAUCUUCAUGGAUAUCUUCCGAAGGUAAUCAGUCUGAAAGCCGAAAUAAAAGAAAAUCAGGGAGGUGUAAAUGGAUUUGAUACCCCAUAGCUUUACUAGUACCAAAACUCGUUCUUCAUCAGGCUGUUAAGAAAAACAUGAAUGUUCAGCAGCUGAUUAAGUACCUGGUUAACAGCACCGCUGAAAAUUUUCUCCUCGAACCUGGCAGCAAUUCUCAUGAGCUCAUUAAUUCCUUCUGGUCCAGAUUGAGGAAGGUGCCUGCUUAGUAUUUCCAUUCUGCGCAUAGAGUAAGAAAAACAGAAGUAAAGGUCAAAAAAGUGUAACAUUUUGGAGACAUAACAUUACAACAAAACCAGUUAAUAUUAAAUAUUAAAUAAACUUACAUCUUGUUAACGAUCUUCUGGCGUGAAUCAGGUGGCAACUGUUUUCUCCACUCACCAUUGUUAAUGGCUGCAGAUUCUCCAUUUGGAAUGGAAAGUCUCCAAUUGUUGUUAUCCAUCAAGUGUUCCUACGUAUACAAACCAUGAUAAGAAGAUAACCAAAACAUGAUGCGCAUAUCGCAAGGAAAAAAAAACUACAAGAAGCAGACAGAAGAUGGAUUAUUAUUAUUCACACUCAUAAUUUCUCAAUAUGCCAAAUAAUCAGACCAGCCAGGAUAAUAAUAAUAGCAAGUUUGAGACAUCAGAAAUUAAAUAAGAAAAUCAAAACAAGUUGUGUUCACUGAUCAGCCAAAUUGUUUUUUUUUUUUUUUUAUUACCAGCUUUGUCUCCUGUCCCUAGCAGAAAGCCACAUACGAAACGAAUAAACAUACUUUAUGACAUGACACAAGCAAAGUUAAUCAAUUCUCCUAAUUAGUAAGAACCGAGAAUCACAAUCUCUAGAGGGCGAUGGCUAUAUAGUAUAGCUUCCCGAGACUCCGAUUACAAGAUAAAACUCCAAAAGCAACAGAAUGACACCAAAACAAAAACGAGAUUCGAAAAUUUCACCUAAACUUUUCAAAGCGUGUCGAGGCGAUUUCGCGGUUGCUACAAACGAUUAGAGUCUGACUUUAGGAAAAAAAUAGAAGUUAAAUUAAGGUUUAGGUUAAUCGCGAAAUGAAAUUGAAGAAUAUAUAAAAGAAUGUUUCUGGGCAAACGCAGAGGAAGGAAACUUCAUGCGUCUUAAGCUGACAACUGUGUCCCCUCAACUUUGCUUACGAGAGCAUGUUUAACAGGGUUCUUGUGGGGUUUUCAGCUAUAAGAAUUCAUUUCUUAACUUUUUUUUCUUUUUUUUGUCUGACUUUUUUUUUUUCCUCGAUAAAUAUUUGAUUCACAGAAUUAAAAACCCACAAUACAACAUACAUAAGCCCAAGAAAAUGAAUUAAAAUACAACAAACAUCUGGAUCCAAGACCCAACUAUGAAAAUUCUAGGAGACAAACGAGGUUCCACCGCCAUACAGACAAACGCUGCAGUUUAGACGUCGCCCUCGCUUUGAAACACCACCGGAUAACCAACCAUCGAUUCAUUCGGAUCCACCAGAGCUCACUAACUUUAAACCAUCACCACCGCAAACGUCUUUAACUCAAGUGAACCCAAUAUGGGAGAGCAUCAAUCGACUGUUCGAGAUCUCAUCUGUCACCAUUCAUCACAAGCACCGAGAGAAAAGCUUCACGCGAACCAUCACCGUUAACAAUGGUCGAGCUUCGAUCGUCCUCCGACGAUAUCUCCACCAACCCUAACCAAACCAAAAGCGUAAAACUAAAAAAAAGGAGACAACCAAACCCUAAAACGGAAUUAGGGAACCAAAAAUCGGCAAAGCAAAGCAAGGAACGCCUUCACCCCCCAGGAUCUAGACCGACGACGGCAGAGCUGACGAAGCUUCCACCUCUCGGGGACAGGAACCGGCAUCGACGGAGCUGGAGGAGCCUCCACCUCCCAGAGACAAAACCAAGUAGCCGAACGAAGAACUUCACCGCGCCUUUCUCAAUACGACCGCGCCUUUACGCCAGAGACAGAUCCGCCAUGGGCGGCCUUGUUCCAGAGCUCAGGCAAAGCGGAAGAAAGAGGGGACAAGAGCAAAGCAAAAAUCGAAAGCUUUAAAGGUGGCUUGAGGGACUCUGGUGACGGCACGCACGCUCACGCGCCGGCCGGUUACCAGACCCGGUUAUAAAUCUACUUUCUCUUUCUACUUUCUCUCUCCGGGUACGUAAUUUAUUUCUUAACUUUUAAAUACCGAUUUUUAGUUAAAAUAUUAAUAGAGAGUUUUUAUAUUCCGUUAAAAAAUAACUCAAUUAAACAUGCUCUAAAUUAUGACCAAAGUUUUCAAUGUCGUUGAGCUGCUUUUUAAAUUACUAGAAACCCCUCCACUUAAACUGCAUUACUAGUUCACUUUGUAUAAAUAUUGUGUGUUGAAAGGUUCCUUAAGACGACGUUUAAUAUCGAUUCAUUCAUGUCGUUCAAAUUUUCAAAAGUAGCUGUUGUAGCGCGUAUCAACCAAUCAAUCAAAACGAAAUAAAUGAAUAUUAAGAGUUACAUAAACCUAUUUAUAAGUGAUAACUCUAUUUUCUUUUAUCAAAAUAAGUGAUAACUUAGUUUUUGUUUCCACCAGAAAAAGGAAGAGAGAUUCUUUUUCGUUUGCUACUGUUACUAAGAAACUAGAAAUCACACUUGACAUGUUUAGUCAUGGCUUCAUGCCUCUUGCAGGUUUCUUCUUUAUACACAAAUAUGUACAUGCACUUGCCUUCCCCCUUAUUUGGCUUUAGCUUUCCUCUUUCAUACUCUGCAUCUUCAAGGAUAUUUUGCAAAAGUAGUCCAUCUGAAACUCGAAAUCAACACACAACAUCAAGAACACAAAGGAGGGGAUGAUAUCAAAGGAAGUACACAUUGAGCUUAAUCAAAAAUAGUGAAACCUGAUUUUUCGCGGUGUUGAAAAUCAACUCCUCGAAGCUCACAGCAAUUCUCAUGAGCUCUUCGAUUCCUUCUUCCCCAGAAUAUGGAACAUGUUUCUUCAGUGUUUCCAAUCUGCUCAAAUGACAAAAGUAACUUAUAAACAUAUUCAUGGCAAAACGUUGAAAAACAUUCUACAUUUCAACAGAGUUUUAUCAUUAAACUGGCUUUGGGGGAGGGAAUAAGCAGCUAAGAGAGAAAAUAUGACAAAUUUGGAGGAUGAACAAACUCACAGCGUGUUGACAUUCUUCUGGCGUGAACCUGGUGGAUGUAGAGCUCUCCAGUCACCUCUGUUUAUGGCAAGAUUACCUAUGUGGACAAAGCAAAGCAUUAAGUUCAGAUUUCUAACUCCAUUCAAACCCUUCAAGAGAAACGAAUCAAGUGGGAAAAUGGAUGCAGCUGAGCUCCAACAUCCAUAUAUUACACCACGUAAAUGGACUGCAUCGACAGAUUUUCUUGACUAUCAUGAGAGUGAUUACCGUUCUGAGAUGACUGUUGCUUCACAGGCUGCAUCUGAGGUUGCGGAAGCUGCCCUUGCUGAACUGGCUUCCUCGGCAUGUGCAUAUUUACGAAACGUUUAAUCUGCCUCUCAUAAGAAGCCACCUUAUCCUUUAAUGCAGGUUUUAUAUUUCUCUUUGAAACGGAUAGGAAUUGUAUCAUUCGCUCCAACAUUGUCUUUAAUUGUUUCAAUCUAUUAAACUGCAGAGAUCUUUGUUGAUGCGGAAAAGAAUUCUGCUCGAGACAAAAAAAAGAAUGUUUUCAACAAGAAAGAGACGAGCACAUAGAUUGCAAGCUAAAGGAACAUAAAUAUCCGAUGUUUACUUUCUACUGGACAGUAAAAAUACGAGCAUCUUUUGGUGCAAUGGUUUUCAAGAUGCCAAAGUUGUAUGACUUUCUUUUGCAAUAUCGAACCGGUUUUGCAUUGAAUUCAUAGGAAUUCUCGCUCAGAUACUCUACUGUUUCGGAGGACAUACACUCUACUCUCCUAGAAAAAUAUAUAGCAACUUACUUGCUGCAACUUGGCUGCAACUCUCUGUUUGACUUCUUUUAGAUCUGAUAAGUACGUAUCUCUCAAAGUUUUGAUCUGCAAAGACAAGCACAAAGAUCACACGGUUACUCAUUACGAUGAUAUCAAAAUAAGAUCGCCUGCCGUGUUGCAUUUAUCUCUUAUAGAUUUAAUAAACGUAGACAGAAUAGGUAUAAAGAUAGCAAACUUAUUUUAUCUCCCCCAAACACUUAUGAGUACUGACGGCAAGGCCUGAAGCAUUACCCAAACUAGAAAGAAAAACUACCUUUUGGUAAACCUCCUCUUGCCAAUCAACAGAAUUUCCACUUUCCGUCUGUGCCAUGGAGUUUAACAAUGCUACAAUUUAUAAAAAUGGGGUUUGUUUAGCAUCAGAUCCAGCUGAGGGAUUAACUUAUGUAAAGUAUUCACAAGGAUGUAAACGCAUACACACAGGAUGGAAUCUCUGGAAGGGUUUGUCUCUGUUGGUCCACUACAUUUUGAGGUGGAAGCAGGGAACCUGUGAAUUGGCCUGAAGAUUGUAGCCUUUGUAGCAGAUUAGGUUGUUGUAACUGCUGAUGAUGCGACUGAAGGGGCAUCAUCAGCUGCUGCUGGGAUGGCUGAUUUUGUGACUGUUGGCCUUGAGAAGAAAACACAACAUGAGAUGAUUGUUGGGGAAGCUCCCCUUGCUGAACUGGAUUCCUCGGCCUUAGCAUAUUUACCAAAUCUAUAGUCUGCUUCUCAUAGAUAGCCACCUUAUCCCUUAAUGCAGGUAUGACAUCUCUCUUUGACACCGAUAGGAAUAGUAUCAUUCGCUCCACCGCUGCCUUGAACUGUUUCAAUUUCUCAAACUGCUCUGAUCUUCGUUGCCGCGGAAGAGAACCCAUCUGGGGAGAAAAAGGAAUGUGCUCAAUAGGAAAAGAGACAACCACAUAGAUUCAAGCUACAACCUUUGUCAGUUUGGGAAGGAAAAUAAAUAUCCGACAAUUACUUUCCACCGGACAGUAAAAAUACCAAAUUUGUGUGACUUUCUUUUGCAAUAUCGAAUUGGUCUUGCAUAGAAACUCUCGCAGGUACUACUGUUCUGGAGGACAUACACACUACUCUCUUAGAAAAAAAAACUUACUUGCUGCACCCUGGAUGCAGCUCUCUGAUAGAUUACGGCAAGAUCAGGUAAGUACGCUUCUUGUAUAGUUUUGAUCUGCAAAGACAAAGCACCAUGGACACACACGGAUUACUCAUUACAAUGAUAUUUAUGUAAGAUCGCCUGUCGUGUUGCAUAUAUAUACAGCAAACUUAGUUGACAGCAAGACUAAGAAGCCGGAAGCAAUACCCAAAUUAGAAAAAAAGAAAACUACCUUUUGGAAAACCUCCUCUUGCCAAUCAACCGCAUUUCCACUUUCCGUCUGUGCCGUGGAGUCUAGCGAUGUUACAAUUAAUAAAUAAAUAAAAGGUUUUGUUGAGCAUCAGAUCCUAAAGUAUUCACAAGGAUGUAAAGGCAUACAUGAUGGCAUCUCCUGGAGGGUUCUUUGGGAUUGAUACAGUUGUUGUCUCUGUUGGUCUCCGGAAGGCCUCCAAUUGUUGUUAUCCAUCUAAGUGUUCCCUACGGUUACAAAAAUCUACAGAAAACAAACGACCACACACAGAGAUGAAUUAUAUUGACAAGAAUCAGAGCAGCCAAAGGCUAAUUCUAACAAGUUUGAGACACGGAAUCACCAACCAACCCUAAUAGAGAAUCAAAACCAAAUUUUUCAUUUUUGUUUACUCUUGUUAACAAAAAAAAGCGACAGACUCAACCUCAAAGUAGCAUAUCGUAAAACGAGUAAGCAUACUGUGUCAAUCACACCAAAAAAAAAGAAGGUUAAAUCUAUUCUCCUAAAUAGUAUGAGAACCACAAUCUGUAAAGCGCGAUAGCGAAAUAAUAUGUCUUCUCGAGACUACUGAUCACAAUAGAAAACGAAAUUCUAAAAUUUCACCUCGAGGCGAUUUCACGGGUUGUUACAAAGGAGUAGGAUUGAUCGGGAUGAAGAAAGGAUGACCAAGUUUUCAAUGUCGUCGCGCGGCUUUUAAAUUACCAAAAACCCCUACAAUUAAUGAUCAAUUACUGUAUAAUCUUGCCAAGUGUCAACUACAAGUUCACUAAACCCCAAAUUUAAUUGACCCACCAAUAUAAAGACGGCGCUUAGUCUCAUCAUGUGCUUUAAUUUUUUCAAUUGAUGUUUGAUGUCGGAGAAACCAGAAAUCAUCCCAAUUCCCAAUGGCAUACACUCGACCAUGUAUGGUUUAUUCAUGCCUUUUCUUGUUUUUCUUUUUAAGAGCAUCUCCAAAAAGAAACUCUAUUUUGAAGUUUCCAAAACUCUAUAUUUGAAGUUUCAAUGUGUUCUUCUCCAAAAGUAAAACUUCAAACCUAACUUCAAAAUUAUUUAUAUUUUACACUAUGGUCCUUAUAUUUGUCAUAGUUGAUGUAAAUUCAUAAAAUUUCUAUAAAUAACUAGUACAUAUAUAUAAAUAUUACAGAAAUAUUAAUUAAAAAAAUCUUACACUAAACGAUAAAAUUAUAAAUAAAAGUACAUACUUAAAUAUUAAACUGCAAACAAAUAUUAUAUUAUUCCAUGAAAUUAUUUCUAUAAUGCUCCCAUAUAUGAUCAAUUAGUGCAUUUCGAAGUAAGAAAUGAUUCUCUUUAUUUUUUAUUUGUAGAUUACGAGCCAAAAAUUGUUGAAAUCGGAUAUCCUCAUAAUAUGGCUGCUGAUAGUUUGAUAUUAUCAAACGAAAAAAUCCUUGAUCUUUUAAACGAAAGUAUAACAAGCAAGGAAAAAGGUCAUGAGAUGAUUGAAUUAUGACUACAAAAUAAAGCAAAAAAGUUAGCUUUUAAAAAAGUAAAAGAGAAAAAUAAAAUAUUGCUAAAAAACUUAGCUUCUAUCAAUCAUGUUAAUAUUCGUGAAUACAUUCGAUCUAAACAAGAAAGAAUCAUACGAAAAAUGCGUCAAGAGCAACAACAACAAUCAUCUUUGGUUACACAAAAUUUGUUUGGACGAUAUUUUGUAGAUUUUUGAGGUUCCGGAGCAAAUUUACCAUACUAUUAGUGUUGUCAUAAUAUUUAAAUUUGAGUAAUAAUUAUGUCUUCAUGUGUCUUUUUAAUAAGUUUGUAUUAUGGUUUUUUGUAAUAUUCUUGUUGUUUAAUUCUAGUUUUAAAAUAUUAUAAAUCUUGUUUAAAAAUUUUUUAUUUAAUUUCAUGUGUAAAAAUUAAAUUUAUAAAACAAAUUUAAAAUAUUUAUGAGAUAUAAAUUUUUUAAAGAUUAAAACAAUAAACAAAAAAAUAUUUAAGAAUUAUAAAUAUGAUGUAUAAUUGUAAGGACCAAAAUGCAAAUAAAAAGAUGAAACUUCAAAUUUGAAGUUUUGAAAAGUGAAACUCUAUAUUUGGAGUUUCACUCUUCAAAACUUCAAAUUUGAAGUUUUGAAGUUCCUUUUUGGAGAGCAAAAAACUCUAUAUUUGGAGUUAUAGAGUUUCUUUUGGAGAUGCUCUAACUCUUCAAGGUGUGUUCUUUAUAUACAAAUAUAAAUUAUGGACUAGCUUUCCUUAGGAAGUUUUACGCCGUUUUGAAAACUCCUCUUGUUUGAUUUCGCUUCCCUCUUCCAUACUCUGCAUCCUUGAGGAUAUUUUGCUCAAGUAAUCCACAACAUCAAGAACGAAAUAAGGGGUGGAUGAUAUCAAGGAUAAAUGAACACAUUGAGGUUAAUAAAGAAAAAAAUAAAAAAGUGAAACCUGACUUGUCGCGGUGUUGAAAAUUAACUCCUCGAAGCUGACAGCAACUCUCAUGAGCUCUUCGAUUCCUUCUUUCCCAGAAUAUGGAAUAUGUUUCUUCAGUGUUUCCAAUCUACUCAAAUGACAAAAGUAACUUGUCUAUCUAGAACCAUAUUCAUAGUGUCAAAGCAAUACAACAAAACUUUGUGAAACAUUCUACUUCUACAGAAUUUUGAUCAUUAAAUUGACUUAUGAAUGACAAAAGAGUAGCAAGAGUGAGAAAAUAUGACAAAUUUGGAAGAGGAACAAAACUCACAAUGUGUUGACAUUCUUCUGGCGUGAACCUGGUGGAUGUUGAGUUCUCCAGUCACCUCUGUUUAUGCCAAUAUUACCUAUGUGGACAAAACAAAGCAUUAAGUUCAGAUUUCUAACUCCAUUCAAAAGAAACAAAUCAAGUGGGAAAAUGGAUGCAGCUGACCUACAACAUCGAUUUAUUAAUUACACCAAGAAAAUGGAUUGCAUCUACAGAUUUGCUUGACUAGAAUGAUUACCGUUCUGAGGUUGCGGAAGCUGCCCUUGCUGUACUGGCUUCCUCGGCCUGUGCCUAUUUAAGAAACUUAUAAUCUGCGUCUCAUAAAAAUCCACCUUAUCCUUUAAUGCAGGCAUGAUAUUGCUCUUUGAAAUCAAUAGGAAUCGUAUCAUUCGUUCCAACAUUAUCUUGAAUUGUUUCAAUUUCUCAAAGUCCUUUAAUCUUUGCUGCUGCGGUAGUGAAUACUGCUGGAGAGAAAGAAAAAAAAAUCUGUUCAAUAGGAAAAGAGACAAAGCACAUAGAUGCAUGCAAGCUAGAACCUUGGUGGGUAUGAGAAGGAACAUAACUAUCAGAUGUUUACAUACGAGCCUCAAGAGCAUAUUUUCGUGAAAUGGUUAACAAGAUACCAAAGUGUUUGCAUUAAAUUCAUAGAAAUUCUCCCAGCUACUAGUGUUUCGGAGGACAUACACACACUACUCUCUUAGAGAAAAAAAAUAUCGUAACGUACUUUCUCCAACUUGGCUGAAGCUCUCUGGUAGAUUUCGUGAAGUUCUGCUAAGUACUUUUCGUUUAUAGUUCUGAUCUGCAUAGACAAAGCACCAUGUUUUCACACGAUUAUUCAUUACAGUGAUACUCUUUGUCUUAUUGCAUCUAUCUCUUGACACUUUAAUAAGCGUAGACAGAAUUAGUACUAUAUAUAGCGAACUUAUUUUAUCUCCCAGAAUUCAGCAAGAGUAAGAGGACACUACAGAAGCAUUAACUAGAAAGAAACAACUAUCUUUUGGUAAACCUCCUCUUGCCAAUCAACACCAUUUGCACUUUCCAUCUGAUGCUCAGCAUCAGAUCCUGCUGAGGUGGGAUUAUGUAAAGUAUGAGAACCUAAAGUAUUCACAAGGAUGUAGAAAAAGCAUACAUGAUGGAAUCUCCGGAAGGGUUCUUUGGGAUUGAUAUAGUUGGUCCACUACAUUUUGAGGUGGAAGCAGAGAACCUGUGACUUGACCUGAAGAUUGUAGCCUCUGUUGCACAUCCUGUUGUAGCAGAUUAGGUUGUUGUUGCAAACCUAACUGCUGAUGAUGCGACUGUUGGCCCCGAAACAGAAACAAGCCAUGAGCAGCCUGAUGCAGCCCAACGGUUGGCUGUGAUAACAUGUGCACCGACUGCUGGUUAGUCUGGGAACUGAGCAACUGAUGUUGUGGUUGCUGCAGUCCUGCAACACUUCUUUGAGUGCCCAAUGGUUGCUGAUGAAGGCUGUUUUGUUGAGACAUCAAAUGCUGUGGCAACGGAUUUCUCCAGUCACCAGGUUCUCCUUUUGGAACGGAAGGUCUCCAAUUGUUGUUAUCCAUCACCUGUUCCUUACGACCACACACAAGACAAUCCGAUUUUAUGCCAAGAUUCAGAGCAGCUAGGCUAAUAAUGAUAGCAAGUUUGAGCCACGGAAUCACCAAUUCCAAAGAAAAUUAAAAUCAGUUGACUUCACUGAUCAGUCAAUUUUUUUCAUUUCUGUUUGCUAUUGGUAGCAAGAAAGAGACAGAGUCAACCUCAAAGUAGCAUAUCCGAGAAAACGAGUAAGCUCAAUCACACCAACAAAGUCAAAUCUAUUCUCCUAAAUAGUAUUAAGAACCGAGAACCACAAUCAAUAAAGCUUGAUGGGCUAUAUAGUAGUAUGUCUUCACGAGACUCCCGAUCCACAAGAUUUGAAAAUUUAACUUGUAUUAAACUUGUAUCAUUCGCUCCAACAUUGUCUUUAAUUGUUUCAAUCUAUUAAACUGCAGAGAUCUUUGUUGAUGCGGAAAAUAAUUCUGCUCGAGACAAAAAAAAGAAUGUUUUCAACAAGAAAGAGACGAGCACAUAGAUUGCAAGCUAAAGGAACAUAAAUAUCCGAUGUUUACUUUCUAGUGGACAGUAAAAAUACGAGCAUCUUUUGGUGCAAUGGUUUUCAAGAUGCCAAAGUUGUAUGACUUUCUUUUGCAAUAUCGAACCGGUCUUGCAUUGAAUUCAUAGGGAAUUCUCGCUCAGAUACUCUACUGAUUCGGAGGACAUACACUCUACUCUCCUAGAAAAAUAUAUCGCAACUUACUUGCUGCAACUUGGCUGCAACUCUCUGUUUGACUUCUUUUAGAUCUGAUAAGUACGUAUCUCUCAAAGUUUUGAUCUGCAAAGACAAGCACAAAGAUCACACGGUUACUCAUUACGAUGAUAACAAAAUAAGAUCACCUGCCGUGCUGCAUUUAUCUCUUUUAGAUUUAAUAAACGUAGACAGAAUAGGUAUAUAGAUAGCAAACUUAUUUAAUCUCCCCCAAACACUUAUGAGUACUGACGGCAAGACUAAGAGGCCUGAAGCAUUACCCAAACUAGUAAGAAAAACUACCUUUUGGUAAACCUCCUCUUGCCAAUCAACAGCAUUUCCACUUUCCGUCUGUGCCAUGGAGUUUAACAAUGCUACAAUUUAUAAAAAUGGGGUUUGUUCAGCAUCAGAUCCAGCUGAGGGAUUAACUUAUGUAAAGUAUUCACAAGGAUGUAAACGCAUACACACAGGAUGGAAUCUCUGGAAGGGUUUGUCUCUGUUGGUCCACUACAUUUUGAGGUGGAAGCAGGGAACCUGUGAAUUGGCCUGAAGAUUGUAGCCUUUGUAGCAGAUUAGGUUGUUGUAACUGCUGAUGAUGCGACUGAAGGGGCAUCAUCAGCUGCUGCUGGGAUGGCUGAUUUUGUGACUGUUGGCCUUGAGAAGAAAACACAACAUGAGAUGAUUGUUGGGGAAGCUCCCCUUGCUGAACUGGAUUCCUCGGCCUUAGC
rnacentral:lncRNA from 1 species